ACUGUCUCAAAAUUUUCCUAAUUUUUCCUCUUACUGUAUGAUCGAAUACACUUUAUUCAAACUAGGGAAAUGUUUAGUUAAUAAAGCUUGAGUUUUAAUAGCUUUGUAAGAUUUGUUCAAACCCAUCAUAACUUCACCACAAAAUCUCUCUGUUGGUAUAGUUUUAUGUCCCUCCACAUGUGCAAGUUUUUAUUGAUUC
rnacentral:lncRNA from 1 species